rnacentral:rRNA from 1 species
GAACGAGAAAGCGGGGGCAACUCCGUGAGUAAAGUGGCGUACGGGUGAGUAACACGUAGCUAACCUACCCUUGAGUGAGGAAUAACCUGGGGAAACUCGGGCUAAUACCCCAUAACAUCCCGAGCAAUCGGGAGCAAAGGCUCGCAAGGGCCGCUUGAGGAGGGGGCUGCGGCCGAUUAGCUAGUUGGUGAGGUAACGGCCCACCAAGGCGAUGAUCGGUAGCCGGCCUGAGAGGGCGCACGGCCACACUGGCACUGAAACACGGGCCAGACUCCUACGGGAGGCAGCAGUGGGGAAUAUUGGACAAUGGGCGCAAGCCUGAUCCAGCCAUGCCGCGUGGGUGAUGAAGGCCCUAGGGUUGUAAAGCCCUUUCGGCGGGGAA